UACAGAGGUCUCAAGCGUUGUUCGGAUUCAUUGGGCGUAAAGGGUGCGUAGGCGGCGCGGUAAGUCGGGUGUGAAAUCUUGGAGCUUAACUCCGAAACUGCAUUCGAUACUGCCGUGCUUGAGGACUGGAGAGGAGACUGGAAUUUACGGUGUAGCGGUGAAAUGCGUAGAUAUCGUAAGGAAGACCAGUGGCGAAGGCGGGUCUCUGGACAGUUCCUGACGCUGAGGCACAAAAGGCCAGGGGAGCAAACGGG
rnacentral:rRNA from 1 species